UGCAGUCGAGCGGACUAAAGAGGAGCUUGCUCCUUUUUAGUCAGCGGCGGACGGGUGAGUAACACGUGGGCAACCUGCCUGUAAGACUGGGAUAACUCCGGGAAACCGGGGCUAAUACCGGAUAAUUUCUUUUUCCGCAUGGAGAAAGGAUAAAAGACGGCUCUGCUGUCACUUACAGAUGGGCCCGCGGCGCAUUAGCUAGUUGGUGGGGUAACGGCCUACCAAGGCAUCGAUGCGUAGCCGACCUGAGAGGGUGAUCGGCCACACUGGGACUGAGACACGGCCCAGACUCCUACGGGAGGCAGCAGUAGGGAAUCUUCCGCAAUGGACGCAAGUCUGACGGAGCAACGCCGCGUGAGUGAUGAAGGUCUUCGGAUCGUAAAACUCUGUUAUCAGGGAAGAACCCGCAUCGGAGUAACUGCCGGUGCGUUGACGGUACCUGACCAGAAAGCCACGGCUAACUACGUGCCAGCAGCCGCGGUAAUACGUAGGUGGCAAGCGUUGUCCGGAAUUAUUGGGCGUAAAGCGCGCGCAGGCGGCUUCUUAAGUCUGAUGUGAAAGCCCACGGCUCAACCGUGGAGGGUCAUUGGAAACUGGGAGGCUUGAGUGCAGAAGAGGAGAGCGGAAUUCCACGUGUAGCGGUGAAAUGCGUAGAGAUGUGGAGGAACACCAGUGGCGAAGGCGGCUCUCUGGUCUGUAACUGACGCUGAGGCGCGAAAGCGUGGGUAGCGAACAGGAUUAGAUACCCUGGUAGUCCACGCCGUAAACGAUGAGUGCUAA
rnacentral:rRNA from 1 species